GUUUCAGUUUGUUUCAAUCGCUCGUACAAGUCGGACGUGUUUACGCUUGCGCUCCUUCGCACGCAACGCCAGUCACACGUAUACACACGCGUUCGCACGUACGUAGACCGAUUUCGCGACUGGUUCGUGACGAUAAACUUCGGAGUAGCUUCUUCAAUCAAGCGCAGCCGCUCGGAAACAUAGUGGAUUAAAAAAAAAAAAAAAAAAAAAAAGAACUCGAAAGUCGUAAGCGUGUUCAAGCCCCAUCGCGCUACGUGCUUCCUAACAAACGUCCACGUGUCGCAUGUCGAUACUUUCCCCAUUUUUUUCGAGGCGAUCCGUGCCGGGAGACGUUCUAACGUAUUCGAAACGCGCGCCAACGUCCGUCGGCUGACCACGUGGUACGCGUCGCCGUAUCGACCACCGGUGCGGCCGCCGCGCCGAUUGGCCCGGCCGAGGGACACGUGACCGCGCGCAACGUCAGUUCGGACCGCCGUCUGCUGGUCUGCACUUGUGUCGGGUCGGGCCUACACUUGUCAACGUACGUUCGACGGGGGAACAAAGGACGGCCGCGGAGAGACGACCUUCUUCGCGCUGCGCUCUUUCGCGCUCUUUCGUCGGCGUCUCGCGUUCAGAUCGUCUCCGUUCGUCGUUCUGCGUGUCGCGUGUCUCGAUCCUCGACGCAGCCGACGGGGAUUCGCGCACAACGUCACGGUGCUGGAGCAGCGCGUCCCGUGAGACCCAUCAGGCGCUUUUGACAGCUCGCCGUCGCCGCGCGUGACGGCGUCGUCGGCGGCGGACCGCGGCCGGCUGAGUUUCGUCGCAACGACGGUGUCAUCGGUGGCUCGAGGGGAGAUCGGACGGGGAGCCGUCGACGAGUCGCGACUCCGUACAAAUCCGCCGGAGCGGAGUAGUCUCGAUCCUCUUCGCGGCUCUUUGCGUCUCCGUCUCUGUCUUUCUCUGGCUCUCUGUCUCUCUCGCACGCGGGAGACCUUCGGACUGAAGACAGCCGCGAAUAUACGUUUUUUUCGCCUUUCGCCGCGCCGCGAAUUUCGAACGACUCCCACCCUUUGCCAUCCGCGGCCUGCGGCGCGCGGGCUUAGGAGAUGUACAGCAUGAACUAUAUCGCCAAGAUCAUCAGCAACUUCCGCCUCUUCUACAACGAGAUCAACGCCGCGACUCUCACCGGCGCGAUCGACGUCAUCGUUGUCGAACAACCGGACGGCUCCUUCACGUGCUCGCCCUUCCACGUCCGCUUCGGCAAGCUCGGCGUGCUACGUUCCCGAGCGAAAGUGGUGGACAUUGAGAUAAAUGGAGAACCUAGGGAAAUUCACAUGAAACUUGGAGAUUCCGGCGAGGCGUUUUUCGUAGAAGAAGUCAGCUCAAGUGGAUCUCCAACGGAUACCGAAAUUCCGCCGCAUCUUGCCUGCUCUCCCAUACCCGACAAUUGCUUCCCACCGGCAAAAUUCAAUCUGUUGUCGGAUCUGCCUCAGGAACAGAGAGAGAAGAUCCUUGUAGACUCGGUUCUGUCCAUAGAGCGAGAGAAAUGGGAGCAGAUGUCCGCCUUGCCGCCCGAUCAACGGGAAAAGUUUCUGAUUGAACAGUUCUCAGAUCUUCCCGCGGAACAUCGCGAGAAAUGGCUUCAGAUCGCCUCGUUGACUGUGGAGGAACGGGACGAGAUGUUUAAGGAAAGCUUCGGCACCAUAUCUCCGGAGCAGAAGCAACAGAUGAUCAGGGAACAGUAUUCCGCUUUGAAGAUGGAGGACAAGGAGAGAUUGUUCAAGGAAAAUUUUCCAGAGCUUUCGAUCGAGCAGAGGCAAAACUUCGAGAGAGCUUUAUUGAGUGACUGGAAGAAGAAGGAAGAGAAAUGGGAUGAGAAACACGACAAGAACGAGGACGAGGAGAUAUUUGAUAUGGACGUUAUUAAUGACGAGCAGCCGAAAUCUACAAUUUGCCCAAAAUCUUUCGUAGCUGUCACUUCGACUGAGAGAAUUCGAAAGAUCAGCGUGGUGAAGAAUGAUUUUAGACCAAUUACGGAUGACCCCCAAAGUAGUAGUAAGGAAAAGUCUAGCGACGAGUCAAAUUCGUCUUUGGGCAAGAAGAAUUUGAAGGAAGAAAUUGUUGAUGAGAGCAAGAGUAACAGUUCGACUAAGAGAAAACGCAAGAGGAAGAGUAUCAUGAGGAAGAAAGGCUCACAGAGGAAAACCAGCAAUGGCAGUAGCAGCCAGACAGAAUUGAGCGAGACUGAUGCAGUAUUUACCGAGGAAUCAAUUAGUGAGGCGGGGCCCACUCCAAUGGCAGAGGAUGAAAAGAAGAAUGCUGCUGCGGAAUCAACAUCCGCCGAUGCAGUUGAGAUACGACCCGAAACCGAUUUUCACUUCUUCAGUGACUCAGAAGUUACCAAAAAUAAGGACUCCAGACCAUCUUCACCCGUUCAAUCAGACACGGAAUUCGAAGUGCGUAAAAUUACGCAAGACGGCAGCGAGAGGGAGGACGAUAAGGCUCAUCAGCAGAGUUGGAGAUGGGGCGAACUGCCCAGUCCACCUCCAGAGCCGGCGCAUAUGUCGCAUAGAAAUUCAUUGAGUUCUCUGACGACAACUAAUCAGCCGAAUAAAGAUGCACAACGAUCUAUGCUCAGUGGCAUGUUCUCCUUUAUGAAGAAGACUUCUCGCGUAAGACACAAUCCGGAAUCAGAAGGAAUUUAUCUUAGCGAUCUUAAUGCCGACGAACUGGACCCCGAAGUUGCGGCUUUGUACUUUCCCUCCUCACAUCGAGGCCCGACGAUGGUUAAAGAUGAAAAAACGGUGGAUGAAGAAGAUACAGAGUCGGGUAACGGGCCGAGCCUACCUCAGAGCCCCAACAGUGUUGAGGGAGCUAUCGGUGGACCAAAGUCUCUGGAUAGCGAUUUCGAAGAACCAAAGCAUCCUAUUUUCGAUAAUAGCAUAGAAAUAAGUAUGUCUCUGUGCGGUGGUUUGGACAGCGAAAAUGGACCAUCCAAGGAAGCUUUCAACGAAAAUUUAUUGCACUUCGAGGACAUCUGUGCCGAUCCAAAAUUGUACGAGAAUCCAAAUCUAGUCGUAAAAAUUAACGGGAAAUUCUACAAUUGGGCUACAGCUUGUCCGAUAGUGUUGACCUACGUCGUUUUUCAAAGACAUUUACCGCAAAGCGCGAUCGAAAAUCUGUACAUGUCGUUGCCGGUACACGAGGAUAAGAAGCGACAGAGCAGCGGCAAGCCCGAAAGUCGUAGUACAUAUAGUUCAUGGUUUUCUUGGAGACGUUCCACGCAACCUCCUAAAAAACCGGAGGACGCUAGUCAAAACGACGAAAUUACUGCGCAGUCAUCUGAACAGUCUUUGGGUGCUAAGACUGUAACAAACGAUGAAUUACCGUCUACUAACAGGGAAGUAAAGACUGAGCAAAACACAGAUUCGUCAAGCUCAACCGAAAUAAUGGAAACUUGUACAAGAUUGACAAGUACGUCGAACGAAACUGCGCUUACAAAGACUGAGAAAACACGUGAAGGAGAGGGCGAAGGAUACAGCGGCGGUGAGGAUUCCGAUAGUAACCACAACGAACCAGCGGGUAUUAAGAUUCCUGUGGAAAGAAGACCGUAUUACGAGUCCACGGAAAAGUAUCGUAAAACUUUGCGACUGUCGUCUGAACAGAUAGCGAGUCUCGAACUGAAGGACGGCGCCAACGAAGUAGUCUUUAGCGUAACCACUGCUUACCAGGGUACGAAACGCUGCAAAUGCCAUAUCUACAAGUGGAAGUGGGAUGACAAGAUUGUCAUCUCUGAUAUUGACGGCACCAUUACGAAGUCUGAUGUCCUGGGUCACAUUCUACCGAUAGUGGGCAAGGACUGGGCUCAAUCCGGGGUUGCUCAACUGUUUACGAAGAUAAAGAACAACGGCUACAAACUAUUGUACCUCUCGGCGAGAGCAAUUGGUCAAGCUGGGGGAACUCGGGAAUAUCUGAGAAACUUGAGACAAGGGGAUCUGUCGCUGCCAGAAGGCCCGUUACUUUUGAAUCCUACAAGCUUGAUCUUGGCAUUUCAUCGCGAGGUGAUAGAGAAGAAGCCGGAAGAAUUUAAGAUAUCCUGUCUGAAAGAUAUUCAAGCGCUAUUCCCUGAAGGAUCUUCGCCAUUUUACGCCGGAUAUGGAAAUCGCAUAAAUGACGUGUGGGCGUAUCGAGCAGUAGGCAUUCCUAUAAUGCGGAUCUUUACCAUAAACUACCGAGGAGAAUUGAAGCAUGAAUUGACACAGACAUUCCAAUCUUCUUAUACGCGUCAGUGCAAUAUCGUCAAUGACUUGUUCCCGCCGCUUAUGCCAAACGUCUACUGAUGACACAACCAUAAAUUUUAAUAGACGUAUUAAUUAAAUUGAAUUAUAUUAAAGUAUUAUACAGUAAUGCCGGUGACGUAUCAGGCUUUCAUGCAUUAUUGCGUUAUGUUUGGGACAUUGCCAUGCAUAAUUUCGCUACAUUUCCUGAUAAUUGACAUAGUACAAAGUUAAAACACACAUUUUAUAUACACUGUAAGUACACACGAGUGAUAAGCUAUCAGGAAAGCUUAUUUUCAGUUAUAAACAUUUAAAUGUGAUACGUCGGACGUAACCGUAAUUAGAUAUGUUAAUAUUAUAUUUUGGAAUAUAUUUGGUUGUGCGACAACUCCUACUUAUCUUCUUAUGAUUUAUAGGGUAUUCAAACAUGAGCUUCAUCGUCGAUCACGUAUACCCGGCACGGCGAGAAGACGCUACCGAUGAAUUCAGCAAUUUUGCAUACUGGC